UCAGGGGCAACCAAGCGAGCGUUCAGUCGCUUUACACCACCGUGAACCGGCCCGAAAAUUUCCACUACAUGCACCACGAGAUGGCUUACCCACAUGGCUUCUACGACCCCGGAAACCGUAGUCGUCGAGGCUCGCUGACCCUGGGCAUGCCGAGCGAGUUCGACGUUAGCUCCACCGUCGAACUGGUGCCGUCGUCAGCCGCAGGCGUAGCGGCCAGCGUCAACCGCUCGUCGCUGGCAUGGCCGUUUUCACCCGCCGGGACCCCUGCAGCACUAGCCGUAGGUCACUACGAACACGGCCAACCUCGGAGAGAGGCCUGGAUUACGUCCGCCUUCAAAGGACUUCGGGCCGUGGGCACAGAGAGCGUGGCCGCUGUCGUCUCCACUGUGGUCCUGUGCUUCUUCACAGGGCUCGCGAUAUGGCUUUUGUCAACGGCUCAUGACCAAUGGGACGACAGUGGUUUAGACGCGGUGGACGACGCAGAUGCGGGCCUGCACUUGGAUUUGUACGGUGCGCCACCUUCGCCGCCUGUUGCCGGGAUUCACGAGAUGCUCACGAGUGAGUGGAAGAUAACAGUAGGAACCAGGCGACCGAGAAGCAGUAAGCGUGCUUUGAUGUCAACAAAGGUGCUCUCUGACGUGGCGCUGAAAAGCCGGGUGCCCCCCUGGACCGAAGAUAACGCUGAAAGCCGCGCUAGUACUGUGGAUGGCGGCGGCGAUGACAGCGAUGAAUCGAAGGCGCCGAGGACCUCAACAACUGACGACGACGCUGUGACUAUUGCUUCCAAGCGCACCCGUGUCAGGCGACGACCUGACACGGGCAGUUCGGCAAAACGCGUGAAGUGAUCCCAUCGGGUUCGCCAGCGUGAAGUUCGACUCUGAUGCUCCACACAGAGGACGAGGCCCCUUACAAAUAUAUCUGAGCCGGCAUUUGCA